ensembl:lncRNA
CCAGAAAACUGCCCCAGGGCAUGGCAGGGAGCCUCAGGCGGACGGCCUGGGGGGCAAGCAGAGGCAGAGUGAAGGCGGAACCCUUCAGGAGGCCGGCGGCAAGGACGAUGAGGGCUCAGUCCCUCAGGAGACCUGCAGUGGCACAGAACCCCCUCAGAAGGCCGGCAGCGGUGAAGGCGGAACCCUUCAGGAGGCCGGCGAAGGCGAGGUAGAGGGCGGGUCCCCUCAAGAGGAAGGCCAGGUAGAGGGCGGGUCCCCUCAGGAGGCAGGCCAGGUAGAGGGCGGGUCCCCUCAGGAGGCAGGCCAGGCAGAGGGCGGGUCCCCUCUGGUGGAAGGCCAGGUAGAGGGCGGGUCUCCUCAGGAGGAGGGCCAGGCAGAGGGCGGGUCCCCUCUGGUGGAAGGCCAGGUAGAGGGCGUGCCUCCCCUGGACGGUCUGGAGGGCGGACCCCCUCUGGUGGACAGGGUAGAGGGCGGGUCCCCUCUGGUGGAAGGCCAGGCAGAGGGCGGGUCCCCUCUGGUGGAAGGCCAGCUAGAGGGCGUGCCUCCCCUGGACGGUCUGGAGGGCGGACCCCCUCCGGUGGAAGCAGAGGCCGGUACCCCUCUGGAAGGAGCAGGGGGCGGGCCCCCUCAGGCAGGAGCGGAGGACGGACCACCUCAAGCAGGUGACGAGGCCGGUACCACUCUGGAAGGCGAGGAGUGGGCUCAGGAACCGGACAGGGCUCGGGGACCGGAGUCAGUGCGGGAGCUGGAGUACCAGGAGGAAGCGGGUGGUUCCCCAAACCCUCCCAGCGCUCCAUUGUCUUAUUUAUUCUGGCUAGUAAAUCCUCCAAACUACGGUCAAAUUGAGCGUCCGCUGGGUCCCAUCGUGGUGCUGUCAUUCUGUUAAAGGGAAGCUGGAGGUGCAGGCAGGCAGGUAGGACCCAAACGCAGACGGUAUUGAGGAAAACGGCACUUUAAUCACACCUAAAGGCUAAGGCACAGGAAUCAGGGAACUCGGGAGACAACAGGGAACUCUAGAGGGAACAAGGAACACGGAACACGCAGGACUAACAACCAACACUAACCACAGCAAACCACAAUGACAGCACAACGAACAAAGGAAAGACGAGGGCUUAAAUAACAAACACAACGAGGAACAGCUGAGACACAUUAGGGGAGGGAACAGCAAUCAACACAGGAAGGAAACACAGGGAGACACCCACACCCUG